rnacentral:rRNA from 1 species
GACGAACGCUGGCGGCGUGCUUAACACAUGCAAGUCGAACGAUGAAGCCCAGCCUGCUGGGUGGAUUAGUGGCGAACGGGUGAGUAACACGUGGGCAACCUGCCCCAAACUCUGGGAUAACUCCUCGAAAGAGGUGCUAAUACCGGAUACGAACUAGACAGACAUCUGUACUAGUUGGAAAGUUUUUCGGUUUGGGAUGGGCCCGCGGCCUAUCAGCUUGUUGGUGAGGUAACGGCUCACCAAGGCUACGACGGGUAACCGGCCUGAGAGGGCGACCGGUCACACUGGGACUGCGACACUGCCCAGACUCCUACGGGAGGCAGCAGUGGGUAAUAUUGCGCAAUGGGCUAAAGCCUGACGCAGCGACGCCGCGUGAGGGAUGAAGGUCUUCGGAUCGGAAACCUCUUUCAGUAGGGACGAAGCGAAAGUGACGGUACCUAAAGAAGAAGCACCGGCUAACUACGUGCCAGCCGCCGCGGUAACAC